AGUGGAUGGGGAGCAACCUAGUUGUGCGUGUGUAAAGGUAGUGCCAAGAAAAGCGAUGAUCAUGUUGAAAAUCAAUUCCCGGUACCCGAAACCGACACAGGUGGGCAAGUAGAGAAUACUAAGGGGCGCGAGGUAACUCUCUCCAAGGAACUCGGCAAAAUGACCCCGUAACUUAGGGAGAAGGGGUGCCACCGAGAGGUGGUCGCAGUGAAGAGGCCCAGGCGACUGUUUAGCAAAAACAUAGGUCUCUGCAAACUCGAAAGAGGAGGUAUAGGGGCUGACGCCUGCCCAGUGCCGGAAGGUUAAAGAAGUUGGUCAGUUUUAGGAUGAAGCUAGCGACUGAAGCCCCGGUGAACGGCGGCCGUAACUAUAACGGUCCUAAGGUAGCGAAAUUCCUUGUCGGGUAAGUUCCGACCCGCACGAAAGGCGUAACGAUCUGGGCGCUGUCUCGGAGAGAGGCUCGGCGAAAUAGGAUUGUCUGUGAAGAUACGGACUACCUGCAUUUGGACAGAAAGACCCUAUGAAGCUUUACUAUAGCUUGGAAUUGUGUUCGGGCUUCCUGUGCGCAGGAUAGGUGGGAGGCGUAGAAGGUAUUCUUGUGGGGAUACUGGAGCCAACGGUGAGAUACCACUCUCAGGAGGCUAGAAUUCUAACUUAAUUAAGGACAGUUUCAGGUGGGUAGUUUGACUGGGGCGGUCGCCUCCAAAAGGGUAACGGAGGCGUACAAAGGUUCCCUCAGACUGGUUGGAAAUCAGUCGAAGAGUGCAAAGGCAGAAGGGAGCUUGACUGCGAGAAGUACAGUUCGAGCAGGGUGGAAACACGGUCUUAGUGAUCCGACGGUGCUGUGCGGAAGGGCCGUCGCUCAACGGAUAAAAGUUACUCUAGGAUAACAGGCUGAUCUCCCCCAAGAGUUCACAUCGACGGGGAGGUUUGGCACCUCGAUGUCGGCUCAUCGCAACCUGGGGCGGAAGUACGUCCCAAGGGUUGGGCUGUUCGCCCAUUAAAGCGGUACGUGAGCUGGGUUCAGAACGUCGUGAGACAGUUCGGUCCAUAUCCGAUGUAGGCGUGAGAAUAUUGAGAGGAGCCUUCCUUAGUACGAGAGGACCGGGAAGGACGCACCGCUGGUGUACCUGUUAUGAUGCCAAUUGUAAACGCAGGGUAGCCAAGUGCGGAGAGGAUAACCGCUGAAAGCAUCUAAGUGGGAAGCCCACCUCAAGAUGAGUAUUCUGGUGUAAGGUCACGGGAAGACGACCCGUAAAUAGGCACGAGGUGGAAGUGCAGAGAUGUAUGAAGCCGAAGUGUACUAAUAGACCGUCGGCUUGACCA
rnacentral:rRNA from 1 species